rnacentral:rRNA from 1 species
CAGUAGUCACGAGUUUGAUCAUGGACUCAGAACGAACGCUGGCGGCAUGCCUAACACAUGCAAGUCGAACGAGACCUUCGGGUCUAGUGGCGCACGGGUGCGUAACGCGUGGGAACCUGCCUUAGGUUCGGAAUAACUCAGAGAAAUUUGAGCUAAUACCGGAUAAUGUCUUCGGACCAAAGAUUUAUCGCCUUUAGAUGGGCCCGCGUUGGAUUAGCUAGUUGGUGAGGUAAAGGCUCACCAAGCCGACGAUCUGUAGCUGGUCUGAGAGGACGACCAGCCACACUGGGACUGAGACACGGCCCAGACUCCUACGGGAGGCAGCAGUGGGGAAUUUUGGACAAUGGGCGCAAGCCUGAUCCAGCAAUGCCGCGUGCAGGAUGAAGGCCUUCGGGUUGUAAACUGCUUUUGUACGGAACGAAACGGUGAGCUCUAAUACAGUUUGCUAAUGACGGUACCGUAAGAAUAAGCACCGGCUAACUCCGUG